rnacentral:lncRNA from 1 species
CACUACUUUUAGUAAAAAAUUUUUAGUAACUUUGUGAAAUAACUGUUGUACUCUAAAAAUUUAAACGGUUAGAUAUCAUUUAAUCUGGAGAUAAGCAAAAAAUUGCUAUUCCAGAAAUAGGUAUAAAUUCAGAUUUAAGCGGGGAUUAGAUCAAUUUUGCGUUUGGAUGAAAAUUGAGUUAUUCCUGGGAAUAAAAAAAAUAGUGUUUGGUUAGGUAAAAUGGAAUAAGAAGGAUAGUCGGCUUUAUAAAUAAAAAGUAAUGAUAUUAUCCUUUUAUUAUAUUUGAAUUUGAAUUUUUAAAAUUUUAAAUUUAUAUUUUUAAAUUUAAAAUUUUAACUUUAAAAUUUUAAAAUUUGAAAUUUAAAAUCUCAAAUUUUAAAUUCAAAAUUUUAAAUUUUAAAUUUCAAACUUUAAAUUUAAGAUCAAAUUUAAAUUGUAAAAAUAUAAAAUAUCAAUUUUAAAUUUCAAAAUUUAAAAUAUCAAAUUUAAAUUUAAAAUUUUAUAAAUUAUAAACUUUAUUUUGAGAUUAUAAAUUUAAAUUUUAAAAUUUAAAUUUAAAUUUAAAUUUUAAAAUUUUAAAUUUUAAAUUUUAAAAUUUUAAAAUAAGAAUAAGGCGGGAACUAUUAAUAAAUAUAUUAAUUAUAGAUAAAAUUUAUUAUAAUAAAUUUAUAAUUUUUUUUAAAAUUCUACUUAAACUUAAAUUUAAGAAUUUAUUAUAAUAUUUAAAUAUAAUUUAUUAUAAAUUUUAUUAUAAUAUUUAAAUAUAAAUAAUAUGUAUUAAUAUAGUACAAUUAAUAGGUUUAUAAUAAAAAUAAUGUAUUAUAAUAUAUAACAUAUUAUAUUUAUAUAAUUUAGUUUGCUUAAUUUAUAAUUUUAAUUAAGUUUGAAAUUAAGCAUUGGAAUAGCACUAUUCCACCAAAAUGAUGGACUAGCAAAUUUCUUGCUAUUCCGGGAUAACCGGGAAUAGCAAGGUUUGACCGAGAUAAAAUAUUCCGGCCAAAUUUCACCCCGUUUUGGAGGAAUAGUGGGGAUAAUUUCGUUAUCCCUGCUUAUCCCCUAAGCCAAACGGGGCCUAAGAGAACGAUGUUUAUAUAUUUUUAUAUUUAACACUCCCCCCCCCCUCUCACGUUUGGAUUCGAAACUUUUUUUUUAGUCCGCCUAUGAUAUAGGCUUGAAUUAAAUGGAGGAAAUUAAUAUGCUAGGAGUCUGGCAUGACUCGAAUUCAGGACCUCCUACUCUGAUACCAUUUGAAACAAUCGUUGUACUCUAAAAACUAUGCUAGUAGAGAACGGUGUUUAAAUAUUUUUAAAUUUAACAAACUUUAAUUUCAAAAUUAAUUUUUAUUUUCACUACGAUUAAUUGGUAAUGGAAUCUUAUCUUGUGUUUCUACAAUUCUGAACUGAAUAGAUUCAUUUAUUCAUGCUCCACUUAUCCCAAAAGAGUAGGAGAAAAAAAGGGAAAAAAGAAAAAAGAAAAGUGAGUGUUGUUUCGAUGAUGUACUAGGAGAGGUGAGGUAUCCGGUAGAAAGCAUAUGUUCCUCUCUUUCGCUUGACGAGGAUGCGCAUUGUCAAAAAAAAAAAAGAAAAAAAAGAAAAAAAAAAGUAGAAUCUCGGCAUAACUACUUUAAGCUUGAUUGGUAUUUAGUGCUGUCUCAUGUUGUAAAAGUAUGGUAAACAGUUCUGUUGAUACCAAAAUUGAGUCAACCUAAUCCACGUAUGAACCAAUAAAGACACGUGGUGCACCAGGAGUCGGCAAUAAGACGCCUGAAGGAUAAAAAGGCGGGAACGGUUGAAGAUUGGGGCGUAACUUUCAUGAGGAGUUAGCGUAACUUCCAUAAGGAGUUAGUAUAACUUUCACGAUCAUGGUUACAACCACUCUCCCCAACUUCUUUCAACCAACUAAUAAUGUGGGCUAUAAAUAGUAACUUUGAAGCCUGCAAUCGAGGUCUUUGCCCCUGCGUACAAAAAAUCACCCUUAUUUUCUCUGCAUUUUAUCGCUUUUCUAGGAGUAGUUUAAAUGUAAUCUUUUUCUUUUCCGCAUUUACUGCUUUCCUAGGAGUAGUUCGCUAAGUAGAACCCUGGAGUCUGUCUGCCCCACGGGCACCACUCCGUUGUAGACUACAUUUGCAGAGUCUGUCUGCCCCACGGGCAUCACUCUAUUGUAAACUAUAUUUCUGAGUCUGUAUGCCCUUCGGGCACACUCUUUUUAUUAUUAUAUAAAGACAUUCGGCUCUUUCAGCUGACCAGUCAUUGUGUAUUUCAUUUAUUCGGCUCUUUCAGCCGACCAGUUACUGUAUACUUUUUCCAUUCGGCUCUUCUGCUAACAUUGAUCUAUGCACAGUUCAUACAUUCGGCUCCUCCAGCCGAACCGAUUCUAUAAUAGUGGUUUUCGAAUCCGGCUGAUUCGAUCCCUCAUCGGUCGAAUCGCUUGAUCCGUCGUGGGCGCCAACUUCGAGGGUCACCAUCCGCGGCCACUCAUCAUCCCGACAUUCUUCCCGAGGAGAAUUCUUGACCGGGUCAAGGAUCGGGACUUUCGGCCACCAACAAGUUCUAAUAUAAGUGACAAAAGAUUUAAUAAUUGAUAUUCGAGAUCUCAAAUUUAAAGUCCAAUGCCGUUGUAUUUUUAGUCAAAUUUAUUUUUAAAAUAAAUAAAAUAGGAUAGCAUGUUAAAAAAAUUAUAAAAGAAAUAGACGGAAAGAAUAACAUGUUUUUUUUCUGAAAAAAAGAAAGUAUACUGUAAAAAUAUAUCUCACUCACACUAUUGAGGUGUAGGCAACAAGUGGAAUACUUUAAUGGUUUCUCACCGGAUUCGACUGAACCCGUCCAUAAUCCUAAAAACAGCCUUGUAUGACUCUCUCGCAUGUUCUUCUUCUUUUUUUUUUUUUUUUACUUUUUCUUUUUUGUUGUUGUCUGCUUAUAUUCACAAUCAAUAAUAUUUAAUUUGAUUGUAUACUGUGUAGGUUGGAAGAGAAAAUUAUGAACCAUCUAUUUACGCAAUACAUAUUUAAUAAAUUUUUAAUAGUAACAACAUUAGAGGGAAUUCAAUUGAUAGAUCUAGGUGACGAAGUGUUCGACAUCUGGGAUAAGUAGAUUUCAAGAUAUAGAAAUCAACCUAUUCGCUCUAGGGUAAUCGGACAGAUAGUUUGUUGGUGAGUUAUUUGGAAGAUCAGAAACGAUACGAUUUUUAGAAAGAUUAACACGGAUCAUUUUCUAGUCAUCAAUAAGAUCAGAUAUUUGAAGAUCUUAUGGGAGGAAUUCACCUCGACAAAAAUAGCUAUUUAGUAUUUUGUUAAAUCUCUUCUUUUUUUUUUCCUCUUGACUGAGGUCUAUUGCCUCAUCCUAGUAGCCUAGUUCAUAAUUUUAAUAAAUAAAACAGGGAACAAGCUAUUUUUUUUCUCAAAAUAAUAAUAAUAAUAAUAAUAAUAUUUAAUUUUUUUAUUAUAAAUUAAUAAAUUAUAGUAAAAAUAUCCUCCGUCACGUUGCCUAACAGUUUUGGACUAUCUUUAAUAAAAUUUAAGGAUUGUAUAGUAUUUGUGAAUUGCACUUCAAAAAAAUGAAUGAAGUUCCUUUCAAAAAAUUUCGUGCGUGGAGGCGCUGGUGUUGUGAAUUCGUAUCGUAUGUACAGUCAUUAUUACUUGAAUAAAGAGGAGCGACUUGGCCUACAAUCCACUUUAAAUUAUAACUAAGUCUACAAUUCCUCUCAUCCUUGAGUCUUUUUUUUUUUCCAUCUAAUUUUAUCAUUUUUUAGCUAACCAAACUAGAAAGGGUCUAAUAAUUUCUUCAAUCUCUGGAUAAGAAGUUACAGCAAUUACAAAUGUUUCCAUACCACUGGAGACUUAGGGCUCGUUUGGUUCAUCCAUUUUGAGUAUGGAAUGAGAAUCAGUUUGAUCAAAUUCGGUUAAUUUUGUUUGGUUCGCAUGAAUCGAUUUGAGAUUCUUAUUCAGGACCGGAAUGGAAAUGGCCCAUUAGCCUUCAACUUGAUUCCGGUCUUCUAGCCUAGAUUGAGAUUUCAUUCCGGAAACCCACUAAGUUCUCGAAGCUCAUGUGGUCAUCUCACCCUCCUUUUCUUCACUCCUUUCUUAUCAAAAAAAAAAAAAAAAAUCUAUCAUCUCUCAAAACUCUAUCCCUAACCCACAUUAAUAAAGGUUUUUAAAAAUAAAUUUGAUAUUUUGUUUGGAAAACUUAUUAGAGAAUAGUAUUAUAUUUUUCAUAAAUUUUAAAUAAUAUAAAUUUAUAUUUGAGAGUAAAAUUAGUAUUAUAGUAUCCUACAAUUUUUUUAGUUUAUACGAACCAAAUAAUGAAAUAUGAAUAACUCAUUCCAAUUUCCAAUCCAUAAAUAAACUAAACGUCUUGAGGGAGUGGGCCAUUCCAAUUACUAUUCCAAUUCAUUCCCAUUUCAUUAUUCAUUCCAAUUCCACCGUUAAACCAAACAAACCCUUAGUAUCUCCCUAAACAAAAAUAUAGGAUCCUUAGGCAACGGAAAUUUAAUUUCAAAAUACACUAGGAAAAAACUAUCAAAUUAGAACAAGAUCGAGUUUUGUUUUGGAGCAAGGUAACAAACUAACUUAUUUUAACUUCCACACGCACACACACAUCUGCAACAAUAAAACUAGUGGCAGCAGCAGCAGCAGCAGCAGCAGCAAGCAGCCGCAGAAGAUCAACCAUCCCCCCUGCACAGAAAUGCAUACCUGAAAAUUGUAGCAACUUCAAACCUUCAACUUCCUAACGAACUCUGGCAACCCAAACACGCAAUCCUUUUCCGCGGCGGCGGNCACCCCGACCCUGGCGGCCGACGCCCGGACCCCUUCGUCGUCCAUCAGCCGCCUCACGCAUCUCGCGAUCUCCUCCCCCUUCACCACCACCACCCCCACCCCAUUCUCGCCCUCCCAACUCCACUCCUCCUCCCAAAUUCCGAGCCCGCAUCUCCGCACAACCUCCGCGUUCACCCUCUGAUCCCCGUGCCUCGGCCACGCCAACACCGGCGUUCCGCUCACCGCCGCCUCCAUCACCGAAUUCCAUCCGCAGUGGCUUAUGAAGCCGCCGACGCUCUCGCGGCCCAGCACCUCCGCUUGUUCCACCCACCCCUUCACCACCAUUCCCCUCCCCUUCACCCUCUCCAACACCUCGCGUAGCUCGCUAUUAUCUUCUUCGUCUUCGUCUUCGUCUUCGUCUCGAUCCACCACCCUGCUCUUUACCACCCACAGGAACUUGCACCCGCUCAUCUCCAAUCCGAUCGCCAAUUCUCUCAUCUGAGCGCUCGGCAUCGCCGUGCGGCUCCCGAAGCUGACGUAGACCACCGACCGCGGCGGCUGCGCGUCGAGCCACGACAGCGGCGGCGAAGCGCGCGGUCCCUCGCGCAGCCUCAGCGUCAGCGGCGGCGGCAGCAGCGGCCCGACGGCGAUCGCGGGGGGGAGCCCGGGCGCCACUUUUCCCGCGUUCAGCGCGGCGAGAGCUUCGCGCUCGAUGGCGUCGAACGUGUUGACGACGAUGCCGUCGGCCUUUCCGAGCGCCCGGCCGUUCUCGACGAAUUGCGUCGUGAAGAGGUGGCCGGGGUUAUGAAGAGCCUGCGGCAGCCAAGAUCUCGGCAGAGUUUGCACGCCCGGUAUGUCGAUGUCGCCGAUGACGCCGGCGGCGGUGUCGGCGUACGUGGGAAAGUAGGCGCAGAGCGAGAGCAUGGCGGCGGAGGAGGUGAAGAGAAUGUAGGAAGGGAGGCGGAAUUCGGCGGCGACCGGAAUGAAUGCGGAGGCUAAGCUGAUGUCUAUAACGAGGGCGGAGACGGGCGGGGACGAGGAAUUAGAAGAAUGAGAAGAAGAAGAAGAAGAAUUCAGCACACAAGUUAUGAGCUGCGGCGCGGAGAGACGGAUGGCCUCGAAUUGGAGGAAGAAAGGAUCGACGUGGACGGAGGAAUUGAGCGGGGGGAGGUGGAAGGGGAGGGGACGGAUGGCGGGGAAGGCGGCGAGGAGGUCGGAGACGUGGCGGGUCUCGGCGGCGGAGACGGUGGGGUGGACGAUCACGAAGGAGACGUCGCAGCCGAGGGCCGAGAGCGCGGCGGCGAGGCGGGAGAAGGGGAUCAGGUGGCCCAUGCCGGCGCUCGGCAGGAGGACGAUGUGCGGCGCUCGGUUGCCGCCGGCGGCCGCCAUUUUUUGUCGACGUCGCGCCGUAGUCACCGUUUUAAUUUCGAUUUCUAUUCUGAACCAAACACGCCUUUAGUUAGUAACUGAGAUACUACCUAACAUUCCAACUAACAGAUAAACUUUCAUUAAUAGCUUAUCGAUACUUUAAAAAUUUGUAAUAUUUUUCAUGUCAUGUAAUGAAAUAUACAUGAAACUUCAUUUACAACCAUAAUUCACAUGCGCAAGCGAAAAAUAAAAAGAUCUUUUGGAAACGGUGUUGCUAUCACUAAUUAAAGUUUUUCGACUAACAGCACGGUGCUAUCACUAUCCACCAAUUACUAUAUAACUUUUGACUACAAAUUUUUUUUUAAAAAAUACCGAACAACAAUUUUAUGCAUCGAAACACUUCGUUAAAUUAUCCUGUAGAUACUUUUUGUUAUCUAUUUAUUUAUUUAUUUAUUUAUAAUUAAAUUGAAGAGAGGCAGGGUAGGUGGGCAAGUAGUAGGUGUUUGUAAUAGAUGUGGAAGGGAAGAUGACAACUGCAUGCCUAGCUGCCGGCGGGUGUGGUUGAGAGUUAGUUAAUUCGGAUUAUGUAAAAAUUCGGUACGAAUAUAAUAUAUAUAAAAUUUAUUUUUUAAUUUUUAAAUUUAUUUAAAAAUUCAGUUUAAAAAACGGAUUCGGUAUAAAAUAUAAAAUAUAAGAUAUAAAAUAUAAAAUAACUUAUAUUUAAAAAUAAAAUUAUAAGUUUUUUAUUCAUAUUUGUAAUAAUUCGCGAAUAAUUCGACUGGUCCAAAAAUUCACGAAUAAUUUUUUUAUUUUUGAAAAAAUUCGUAAACGGACCGUUUAAUUCAAAUUUUUAAUAAUUUAUAAAUAAUUCACGAAUAAUUUGUGAAUUAGUAAAAUUUACUAACUAGGGUGUGGUCACGGGGGAUGACGGACAGUGACCAUUUUGGAGACGUACGCAAGACUGUACCACCCAUAUCUCUCGGCCGGAAUGACUCGCCAUAAAAUAUCUGCCAUCUAAGGCUACGCUACAUUCUAGCUAAUACUAUACAAAUCAUACCUUUUUGGUCCCCACAUGUAUUCGACAACGUUGGUGUACACUGAUCACCAUCCUAAUUAAUCUGAUAAAAAGUGUGGCCAAAUUCAGUUUUUUUUUUUUUUGUUUUUUUUAAAGAUAGAGAGCACGCUAUCCGUUUCAUUUAGAAAUAAAUUUAGUUGAAAAUAUAAAUCAACUAAGAUUCGAACUUGGGAUCUCAGGUACUAACCAUCAAAUCUUUUGCCACUUGUUCUAGAGACGGCUGGUGCCAAAUUCAGUAUUUUCAUAUGGUGUACACUAUGUAAAAAUGGUAGAAAAUUUGAAAACUUAAUUACAAAAAAAAUAAGAAUAAAAAAAAAAUGGUAGAAAAUUUGAAAAGUACUAUGCAAUUAAUCCUAAAAGAUUUUUAAAAAAAUUGUGAGCCCCACAAUCCUCCAAAGGCCUUUAAUGGGUUUCUAAUUAGUGUAUUUAUAAAUAAAUAUAAAUAGUGUAAGAGCAUAUCGUUGAUUCGGAUGUCAUAUUGUCGGAAAUAACGUUGAAGUAAAUUCUGUUUUACUUCAAAACUAUUCCGGGGGUAAAGAGUUGUAAUUUUAUUUUUUUUUUUUUGAGAAAUGAGUUGUAAUUUUAUUAAUAUCAAAGUUAGGCUACUUUACAUUUAUGGACAAUUUCGGGCUAAAGGCCUACAUAAUGGCCAUUUAAUUAUUUUGGAACGGAUUUGGGCUUGACAUAGCUCGAUCCGAACCCAGCCCAGUUCCCCCCCUAAUUUACCACCUCAACUGUAUCAAAUACGAUCUUUGUUUGGUUGUGCAUAUAAUACUAAAUAAUAAUAAUAAUAAGAAAAAUGCGAUCCAAAGAGUUGUACUUUUUACGAUCACUAAUCCAAUAGUUUAAGAGUUUAAAAAAAUCCUUUUUUGGCUUUCAGUAAAAAGAAAAAUUGAGAAGAUCAGGAUGCUAAUUAUAAUCUUUAGAUGUUAUGUUGUAGAUGACAACCCAAAUAAAUAGGAUUGUAAAAACCGGAAAGUGCUUCUUGUACAUCCCAAAAAAUGGUGUACAUCUUACAUCCCCAAUUCUAGAGUUGAUAAAAAUCGAAUUGGUAUUUAGUAAAAUUUUAAAAAAUUGGUAUGACAAGAAUGUCUUUAGAAUGGAAUGGGUGUAAGACAUACACCCCACUUUACGGUGUACCUGUAGCAUUGCUCUUGUAAACCUAGUAGCAUUUCAUUAAUAAGAUAAAUUACUUUCUUGGCUCUCAAACUACAAGGCACGUGACAUUUGGUUCUCAAACUUUAGUCGAAAGUAAUUUUUUGCUCAAACUUUCUAAAUUAUUAUGAUCAAAUUCUAAACUCAAUUUAGUUGAUGAAAUGUUAACACAUUAGUGAUGUGGAAGUGAUCUUGAAACUGAAAGUGAAUCUCAAAAAGUUGCACCCAGGGCCUUAUUUGUUUCACCAAAAGCCAAGUUCGUCACAUUGGAACAUUCUUUUGGUUGAACUAGUAUUUAGAUGAAAAUUAUGUACUUUUGCUAAUUCUACUAUUUAUCCGACAGAAAAUUAAUGGCAUAAAAGAUAGUUUUUUUUGUUUUUUUAUUUUUAGUACUUUUUGUGUUUGUUUUACUGAAAUUUUCAAAUCUGCGCAUGUUAGCAUUAGGGGGGUGAAGAUAAAUUCCCAACAUUAACAUUUUAUUAAUUUAUUUUUUCGUAAUUGACUUCAGUCUAAGAUGGACUGAAGUCAAUUAAAUUAUUUUUUGGAGCCACACUAUCUGUCACGCUCCGAGCUCCGCUGAUUUGGUCGGAUUCGAGCACGUAACAGACGCCGAACGGACAGCACCUCCCCUGUCUGUCCAAGGCUCCAACAAUAUAUAUAACACAAGCAAGCUAACAAGAAGAUUGCAAGAUAUAUAAGGUUUGCACGAGGGCAAACAGCAACAACCAUAAGUGAAAGCAUCGAAACUAUCUAAACAUUCAACAUACAAGUCAUUUGAUUACUUCUGUAUCAACCGAAUUCAUUUUAUGGUGAACCUAACAGCUAGAGUAAACAUUUGUUGUUGAAAAUCAUAUCGUGUCUCUCCACUUUCAACAAAACAAACACGUCCUUGGCGCGUUACUCUUAUGUUAACUUUACUAGAAAUUUAACGUCAAAAACCAAGGGAUAAUGAGAUGCAGAUUAUAUAACAUAAAGUAUGAUAAUGCAUCAUCUGUGAUCUGCAAAAAAAAAAAAAUAUUAUUUUACUACACAAAUUAUUAAUAAAUUUUAAAAAAAUUUCAAAUACCACCCCUAUGAUUUUACACUUUCUUACUUUAGUAACCUGCGAUUUAAAAUACAUCAAUUUAGUAUCAUGUGGUUUCAUUUUUAUUUUUUUAUUAUCGAUUUUACUAAUUUUUUUGUUAAAUUAAUGACAAAGUGAGAACUAAAGAGUAGUAAAGUAAAUAUUCGAUAAACCUAGGUGAUAUAUCUGAAAUUUUUUAUAUAUAAUUUAACGAAAUAUUAACAAAAAAAUCACUAAUUUAAUAUAUUUUAAACCAUAUAAUAUUAAAAUAAAAAAAUACAAAAUUAUAGAAAUAAAAGUUUAUCCAUAAAUUUUUAUAAAAUUUAAAUAAAAAAAAGCAACCUAUCAUGUAGCACUGCAGAUUGACGUGUAGACCUGCAUGUUUGUCUCUCAACUUUUUUUUUUUUUUUUUUUUUUUUUUUUUUNAAUCUUUUGUUACGGUUUUAUACAUUUUAAGUUAUCAUUAUAGAUAAAAAUAUAUAAAAGUUAUCUCAACUAUCAUAUUUUUAAAUUCUAUUAUUUAAUCUUUAAAAAUUUUACUUUUAUUAUCUAAUUUUUAGUUAAAAUUUAAAUAUGUCGUUUAUCUUUAUACAUCUAGUUAAUAUAUUUUAUGUAAAAAUUAAUUUAUUAAAUAUAUUUUUUAUAGGCUUAUAUUUUGUAUCAUAAGAGCCAUCAAAUCACCUAAAUCGAGCAAAUUAAAAUAUUAGGUACUAAAAUUAAAUGUUUGAAAGAUUACAUAGUCGAAUUAAAAUAGUAUAUAGUUCGAAUAAGUUUUAUACAUUUCUAUUAUUAUGAAAUAAACUUUAAAUUUUCUCAUGUGGUUUAAUAUAUUUAACUGUACUAUUCUUAUUAACUGUACUAUUCUUUAAUUAGAAAAGGUAUACAUAAUUAUUUUGCGAGAAUCUAUUAUUAAAAAAGUUAAAAUACCGAUAUUAAAAGUAAUGUUUUCAAAAGUAUUUUUUUUUUUUACUUCAGUAAUUUGCGAGCAACCCUCAAUUAGAAAUAAUAUUAUGCAGUUCUUUUAAGACAUCAUUUCUAAAUAGAAGUUAUCAUGUUGCCUCUAAUUAUAUUUUUCAUUAUUUGAUAUGUGUGCUUACUAAGAAAAAUAAGAAAAAUAAACCUUUUUGCCAAAAAAAAUUCACUAGUUUUGAAUUUUUUUGUAAAAAUAGAUCAUUUAAUUGAUUUUUAUAGAUUCAGACCACAAUUUUAAAAAACGAAUCAAAAUAUUCUUGGGCCUUAAACAUCCCAUUGCUCUCUCCUCCGCCCACUCCUUGUGGGAAUGUCUUCAAUACCGGCAACAGCUUUGAAUGCUCAUUUCAUCUCUACUUCCACACUAACUCUUAUGUCGAGUCUGCAUAUUGCGAACACUUCACAAGCGAAAGGAACACGACGAACUUAAUCCGCUUAUCGUCGUCCUCUUCAGCGCUUCGCUAGAGAUAGAGAGACAAAGAUGGGAGAGGACAAGGGUGGCCAUCGUUUAUUCAAGAAUGCCUCUGAAGCAUGUUCAUGGCAAGUGUGGCCAACGGCGACGACGUGGUGGUGGUAGUGAAAAAAAAAAAAAAUAUCUAGUUAACGACGAGAUGUUACAUUAUUUAUUAAAAAGUUAAAAUAUUUGAAUAUAUAUUGUACUAUUUAGUUAAAAAAAUAUACUAUUUUAUAAUUUAAUAUACAUAUCGAAUGGUGCAACUUUCUAGCUACAACAUAUAUUAAUUUGAAUAAUAUAAUUUUUUUAAAUAGUACAAUUUGAAUCGUCCAUCAAAAUUUCUCUCUUGCUACCUUCACCACUUCGUCGUCACAGUCAUGCUCACAACGUACCCUCCUACAGGAGCAUUCUCGACCACCGAUUAUGGUCCUCCUCUGUCUUCAUCUCCAGCGGUACUCUGAGCAGUGCCACCCUUGUCUUUACCAUAAUGAAUUUCGCCGGAAAACGCCAAGUAGAGAGAGAACAUAAACAUUUUGAUUUUUUUAAAAAAAAUUCGGACUGAAUCUAUAUACAAGCACACUGUUGCAAAAUAGCAACUAAAUAAAUUUUUUUUUUAAAAAAAAAAGGCCGAUCUAAUCUAUGGCCUUUUUACAUAAAAAAUUCACUUAUUUUGGACUUUUACAAAAUCGGGUCAUCUUUUUUAUUUUUUCAGAUUCGGUCCGCUUUUUGAGCAAACUGACGAAAAUACCCUUAUACAUUUUUCUCUUUCCUCUUUCUCUCUCCUCCUUUUUNGAAGCCUCAGGCGACCGCCACGUGUCGGUUCCCGCACCCGUACCCACGAUUGGGCUGUGGCCUUCGGAGCCCGCCACGUGUCGGUUCGUACACUGCACUAGCCGCAACGGCUACCUAGAGAUGCCCUUCGGGGUAAGCGUCUUUGGGCCCCACCACUCCCCUCUGUCAUUUUGACCAAAAUAAUAAAAUAAAAUAAAAUAAUUACAUGGGAAGCUACAUCUGAGCCGUUCGUUUCGAUCGCACGAACCUACGGCUAAGAUCGCCUCAAGAACGCCGCUACCCUUUCCUGUCCUCUGAUCUACUACGGCAAAAGAUAAACUGAGACCCCUCACCUUUAGCCUAUCUUGAUUUUGGCCCCUUAACUUCUUUUUUUUUUUUUUUUUUGAUUACUAUUCUCAUCACCUUCAUCUUUCGUUUAAAUAAAUUUUAUAUUGAAAUCAAUGCAUUUAAUAAAUUCAGCAGCAAAUUUAGUCAAGUAAAUAACUAUUAAAUUUAAUAACUUUAUUUAUGAGUAGCUAUUCUAGGUUCAUUAAUAUUUAAAAUAAAAAUUAAUUUGAAAAAGGCCUCGUACGUAACUCUAUUUAUUUUAUCUUUUAAUUCUUUAAUUUGAGUCAUUCUCAAAAUUUUAUUUUAUUAAGAAAUAGCACGCUACCUGCUUCAUUUGUUAAGUCAAUGAAUUUGGCUACACAGGGUGAGACAGCCAAGGACUCGAAAGGGCGAAGAAGCGACCAAAAAAAGGUUUAAGCAAAAACAAGAAAAAAGGCAAAUCCAGAUCCAGAUCAAUACACCUCCGUCACCUGGCUUUAUAGUGGUUGGCCCACUCUUUUGCCAACAUUCCGAUACGAUAGGAAGAUAAAGAAACGUCAGUGAGUAGAUCUCUAAAAAUGGCGUUAUUCCUAUCUCGCCAGAUUGUCCACCAAGUGGCCGCCACUAGUGUCUGAGCCUUCCGACUGUCGCUCUUUGGACGUCUCUCUAGCAGUCGCUCCCAGACGGUGUUAAUAUCUUCGUUUGGGGGGGUAUACGAGACACUGUCCAAGGUGCACGAAAAGAAGAAACUUGCUAACCACGCAUCCUCCAAGCAAAUGGUCUACUGUCUCGGGCUCAGCCCCACACAAUAAGCAAAUGUUAUAUCCUGAUCACCCUCUUUUGAGAAGAUUAUCCAUGGUAGGCAGUCUUUUUCUGAGAGCUGAGAAUCGAGUACACAGAUUUGGUUGUGAAUUUAUCCCCUGGGUCUCACCUCCAGCGAAAAACGUCUGGUCGGUUUUCCAAUCGGAGGUUAGUGAGGGUAUUCUUCAGGUCCCUUAUGCUCUGCUCACAUAAGUAAGAGUUCCGUCUCGCUCCUCUUAAGAUCUUUUCCCAUCUCCAUCCCAAGGUAGAGAAAUAAUCAUAGACGUGAACCUCCUUAAGGUCGACAGUUGCAAAUAUAUCAGGAUAGGAUGACUUCAAGGGCAAGUCCCCGCACUAUCUAUCUAACCAAAAAUUGAUGUGACGUCCGUCCUCUAAGCCAUAACAUACUCCGCUCUUGAAAAUUUCCUUCAAAUUGAGCACACUUUUCCACCAAUGUGAGGCAGGUCGGAACGAUUGACCCUCGGAUAAUGGUCGCCUGCGGAUGGAAAAUAGGCUCCUGAUCAGCUUGAUCCACGGCAGAUCUUGUUCAGUGAGGAAACGCCACCACCAUUUAGUUAGGAGUGUAUCAUUCAUGGAAGUCAAAUCCUUAACACCUAAACCCCCUUACUCAUACAGAUAUUUUUCCAAGCUACCAUAUAUCCCCCCUUGAAAAGCUCGCCUACCUUUUUCAGAAGAAGUCCCUUCGUAGCGUCUCCAUACGUUUUAGCACCCAUCUUGGAGCUUUGAAAAUAGAGAAGAAAUGCAUCGACAGAUUGGAGAGAACCGAAUUGAUCAACGUUAGUCUCCUCCCUCGAGAGAGGAGUUUGGCCUGCCAUCCGUCGAUUCUUCUUUGGAAAUUAUUUAGAACGCCAGCCCAAUCAUCUUUUCUAGGUGCCCUGAAAGUUAGAGGUUGGCCUAGGUACUUAGUAGGCAACUGUCCAACUUUGCACUGCAGGAUAUCGGUGAGUCUCUUGGCUCGUCCAUCCUUAUUCCCCAUAUAGAACACCUCCGACUUUGCUUUGUUAAUCUUGAUUCCAAAGGCCCACUCAAAAAGGAUCCACAAGAAUUUAAGAUUACGCAUAUAUCUUUUUCUUGCUUCACAAAAGAAGAAGGUAUCAUCAGCAUACUGUAUUAACGAUACGGAGCUAUCUGAAGUGGGUCCAAUUCCCUUGAGAAGGUUAGACUCCGCAGCUCUGUUAGUCAUCCUUGCGAGGCACUCGACUACAAGGAGAAAAAGGUAAGGAGAUAGAGGACCUCCUUGUCGCACACCUCUUUUAGUUUUGAUCCAAUUUGUAGGUACUUUGUUAACAUGGAUUGCAAUUUUAGCAUUACAAACACACUCGCUGACCCAUCCGCACCAUUUAUCAUUAAAACCCAUCCACCCUAGAACCUUUCUCAAAAAAGACCAGUCGACUUUGUCAUAAGCUUUUUCGAAAUCUACUUUUAUUUCGACCCCUUCGACCACCUCUUUAUAUUCCCAAGCCAGUAGUUCGUUGGUAGUUACAAACGCGUCGGCCAGGAGUCUUCCUUUUAAAAACGCCGACUGUAAGGUAGAGAUAAGGGCUGGCAAAAUCCCUUGUAGCCUAUUAGCUAGGACCUUGGAAAUAAUUUUUUGGAUCCCAUUCAGUAAACUGAUAGGUCUAAAGUCGUUGGCCCUUACCGCACCUUCUUUUUUCAGGAUGAGACAGACGUAUGUAUAGUCUCCGGCACGAGGAGAGAGUCGACCCUCGUAGAGCUCUUGGAAGAUUAGAAAAAUGUCGUUCUUGAUGACAUCCCAAAAAGUUUGGUAGAAGCUCAAAGAAAAGCCAUCAGGUCCCGGAGCUUUAUCCCUCCCAAGUUGGAACACCGCUGGUUUGAUUUCUUCGAGGUCAAAAGGGAUUGUUAGAAGAUUAGGGUUGGUGACCCGUCUUGUUUGGAAGAGUCCACUCCAAUCCCCAACAGAGUGUGCUACAUUUGAUUCCGGGGCAUAGAGAUCCAAAAAAUAACCCCGAAAGUAGCGUCUCUUAUCCUCUUCCUUAGAAAAACUUAUACCCUCGUCUACAAUCGUCCCGAUCGCAUUCGAGCGUCUCCUAUUAUUGGCUAUCGCAUGGAAGAACUUAGUGUUGUCGUCUCCUUCGCGUAACCAUUGUUGUUUGGCGCGGGUUUUCCACAUCCCUUCUUCGUCAAAAUGUACGCUAGCCAGUCGGGCUUUAAGAGUCUCCCUUUUCUCUUGUAUCUCAGACGACAGCGGACAAUUCUCUUCUAAAUGGUUAAUUCUCUGUAUCUCAUGCAUAAUGUCAGCCUUAGUUUUUAAUAUGCUAUAGAAAUUUGAAGCGCGCCAUUUCUUAAUUUGCUUCCGAUAAAAUCUGAGUUUAUCAUUGAAAAAGAGGAGUGCAAAGCCAGUACGUUGUGUUACCCCCCACCACAAAGGCAUGUUAUGAAUGAAGUCUUCAUUAUAAAGCUAGACAUCUUCUAGCCUGAACAGUUUACACUUGAUCCUAGAGCCAGUUGAAAGCAAGAUGGGACAGUGGUCAGAAGUAACUCUAGGAAGUGCCUCCACUUUCGAUAGGGGAAAUUGUAGGUUGCAUUCGGUGGAGAUGAGAAAGCGGUCGAGCUUCGCUAGCGUAGGGCAGCUAUGCAUGUUCGACCAAGUAAACGCCUGAAAUUUUAUUAAACGUAGUCAUUUUAUUACUACUAUAAACUUUACAAGAUUUUUUAACAAAUAAAGUUAUGGGGUUACUUCGUAAUUUUCUAUAGUUAGGGGGUCUGCAUACAAUUUUACCUCAUUUUUCAUGGGCCCCUUCUCGAUCCCAAAUUAAUAUUUUAGUCCCUUAUGCGUCCACUUUUUCAAAGUAUAUAUAUAUAUUACUUAAGCAAGCAUCUACUGUUCUUCCUCUUUCACACCUUCCAAUACACGCGCACACACACAAACACACACACACACACACACACACACACAAAAAGAAAAAAAAGAAAAAAAAAAACACCAUGGAAAUCCCUCCUCCUCCACCGCAAUUCUAGGGUUUUGUUUUUAUUGCUUUUUUAAUCUCUCCCCCAAAUCCGAGGUCGCUUCCCCUCCUACUCCUUGCCUUAUUCAUGUCCUCUUUGGUGAAAUUGGUCAUUUAUUGGGCGGUCUCUGUCAAAAAUUCGACGCACCAACGUGAGAUUUCAUGGACGCAAUCCGAACCCAAAUCUUUUUUUUUUUUUUUCUGGUUGUUAAUUGCAGUAAAAUCAUCAAGAUGUGAUUUUGUUCUCUUUUUUUCUUAUUUAAAAUCUUGUUGUUGUACUUCUUAAUUAAAAAUGGGUUUUUUUUUUUAUGUUUUGUUUUGGUGAUCUGCACCCUGAGCUCUAAUUUGUUGCUUUACUUCUUGGAUUAUGGAUGCUUAUUCUGUUACUGUUGCAUUAACUAUUUGAUCAUCUCGGGUUUGUUACUUUUUUUUUUCCUUAUUUUAAUCAGCUUUUUUUUUUUUUUUUAAUCUUAUCUGAUGAAAUAAUUUGUGGGUUUUCUCCAGAUGCAGUUGCUGGUGAAUCUCUGGAGUUUUUAGGGUGUUUUUAGAGUGGUGUAGCAAAGAUGGAGGAGGUGGAAGAAGCUAAUAGAGAAGCCAUAGAGAGCUGCUACAAAGUGCUUAGCCUAAUUUCUCAGUCCCAGGAUCAACAACACCUGCAGAGAAACAUACUAGCAGAGACAGGGGAAGCAGUUUCUAAGUUUAAGAAGGUGGUUUCAAUCCUUAGCAGUAGUGUGGGUCACGCAAGAGUCAGGAUUGUUAAGAAGAGCACCACCCCAUUGAACCAAAAGAUCUUACUACAAGACCCAUUAAUCUCUAACCCUAACCCUUUUAAUCUCCUACAGAGGAGUGCCUUACAUAAACAGCAGUUUAGGCCAAAGAUUUACCUUGAGAACCCAAUAGUGGAACUGAAACCUGCUUCCUCUAGAAGCACUCUCCAAUUACCACCGCAAGCCGCGCCGCCCGCUCAUUUCGGCUUCCUCCAGCAGCAGCAGCAGCUGCUGCAACAGCAGCAGCAGCAGCAGCAGCAGAACAGCCAGAGGUAUCAGUUUCAAGCUGAGAUAUUUAGGAGGAGCAAUAGUGGGAUUAAUCUAAAAUUCGAUAGCUCUAGCGGCGUGCAAACGAUUUCGUCAGCUCGGUCCUUCUUAUCUUCUCUGAGUAUGGAUGGUAGUGUCGAUGGGAAGGCGUUCCAUUUGAUCGGAGGGGGGGCGGCGGCGUCCGAUCCGGCGCACUCGUUCCCGCCGCCCAAGAGGAGGUGUACGGGCAAAGGAGAGGAUGGGAGCGGCAAGUGCGCGGCCACCGGAAGGUGCCAUUGCUCGAAGAGGAGGUUGGAUUUCGAUCUCGGUGGAUUUAAAAGUUGGAUACGCAGCUAACUCAAUAUAAAUAUGUAUGUAUAUAUAUAAGAUUUGGUGUUUGAUUUUUAUAGGAAAUUAAGAGUGAAGAGAUCCAUCAAAGUGCCGGCGAUCAGCAAUAAGCUUGCUGACAUACCGCCGGAUGAGUACUCAUGGAGGAAGUACGGGCAGAAGCCGAUCAAGGGUUCUCCUCAUCCUCGGUAUACUUCGCUUGCAGUAAUAUUUUUCCGUCUAGUAAUCUAUCAAAACAAUCUCCUACUACUGCUUGCGAAUUAUGGGUUGCCAAUUUCUCGAUAUUAAGUAUGUAUCGAGUUUAAAAUCGAUUGCUUUAAAAGGUUUACUCUUAACUUAACAUGUUGAUAAUUCAUCCUGCCACUUUUUCACAUCACCUGGUGCUUCAGUAGCAAGUAGCAGUAAAACAAUCACAAAGGCAUCGAUUAUAACUAAUCGGCGUUAUUAUGAGCUGUGUCAUUUUAGGACUAAAUAUGCAUUGGUGAUAGUUGGAAGUAGUUACUGAUUGAUGUAUGUAUCCUCUUUCGUCUUCUGCUUCUUGAAUUUGUAACUGGAUUGAUCUUCAAAGGAGAAAACAACUGACCGAGGUUUUACUACUUUCAACCCCGAUGCAGAGGAUACUACAAGUGCAGCAGCAUGAGGGGUUGCCCUGCAAGGAAGCACGUCGAGAGGUGCUUGGACGAUCCCUCGAUGCUUAUCGUAACCUACGAAGGCGAGCACAACCAUACAAGAGCCGUAACCCAUUCCACCCAUUCUGCCCAAACUUAGAAGAAUUUGAGCUCUCCUCCACAAAUGCGAGCGUCCAAGCCUCAUUACAUAGAGAUUGGGCUAUUCAAUGAAAUUGAUGUGCAUAUUUUGGUUAGAGAAAAUGGGUACACUGGAGCUCUUAAUUCGCUGAUCUAAGUUGUGGCCAAGUGAGCCAUUCAAGCUCAUUGUGAGAUGAAGAGGCUCAUUCUCACUUAAGAGCCACACAGAAAUGCUACCUGAGAAAGCUAAAGAAGGCUAAGAAGGUUUCGAUUUUGCCGGCUCAAAUAUGUUCAGAUCACAUGUUUCUGUUUCAUUGGUGGUUGAAGGGUUGAAGGAGUAGAUAGCAUGGUAGAGUUUUUGGAAGAUAGAAGUGCAUCCAAAGAAGCACACUGUAAUCCACUAAUCUUGGAAGGGAAUGGGGGAGCAUUUCAUGUUGCUCAACUUUUAACUUGCUAAAUGCCAUCUUUAAGAUAUUUUAUACUUUAUUUAGGUGCUUGUUCUUUUAUUAGCUUGGCCAACAUUAUACUUGGUCACCAUUUUUGCUAUUUCAAGCCCUGGUAACUAGCGUACUUACACUCUAUGUUGAGUGUCCUCUCUCUCUCUCUCUCUCUAUUAUGAGGUGUUUUUGGUGUCAUGAAACUUCCAAGAAGCCACUUCUCUGAUGUGGUUUUCUGAAACACCAUGCACUGGUCAGUAUGACUAGUGGAGUACAGUACCUUCUUCCUUCUUAUCAAAGUGUUCUCUACUGCAUGCUUUGCUGUUUCUGCUGUAGCAGUUGCUGCUUCUAGUGACUCCAAAACUAUGCCUCAUGCAAUUAUUUUUUAUGAUUUUGUUCUUUUCAUUUAUUUCUUUUGUACUUUUGUGUGGAGGGAUUGUAGUAGUCAAGGAACUACAGCAACAUACUUCUCUUUCUGUCAAAAGCAACAAAUGGGGAACUUAAGAAAUUUCAAGAAAAAAAGAAGAUAAAGAACAACUUCACCAUUAGUACAAUUAUUAGAGAUCACUACCUGAAUUCUAAUAACCGAAAAGUCAUCUGAACAAUAUGAUUUUGUGACAAAAAAAAUUUAUGUUUGGAGGGAGGUUGAUUGUGUUUAGGUGGUUUUACAUUAUAAAAUUGCGACGGUGAUCUCAAAUUAUGCUGACGUUCUGAUAGUUUCGAAAUCUUUUUUUUUUCUUUUCCCGCAAACUUUAGAUGGAAAGCUGUUGAGAAAUGCAUUUGAUGCUCACCCUGAAUAUGAAAGAAUAUAGCAGAGAUUGACAUUAAUUAUGUGAUUUUAAUUAGUGUUGACCAUAUCUACACUCAAAUCUAUUCAAAAUAUAAAGCAUGAGGAUAACCCAUGUGAUUGGGUUAGAAACUGGAGCAAGCAAAUCUAUUUGCUUUUUAGGUCAUCUAAACCUACACCCCAGGAAUCCAGUUUAUGCUAAAUUAGUUUAGACAAUAAAUUAAGAGGGCCAGUGCUCAAAAGGCAAAAAGCUACCUACUUACCUUUUGCCUCAAAAGAGGAACAAACUGGUCUUGAAAUAGUGUCCUACAUGCAUACUAGCUAUAGUCCCUGCACAUUGCAGUGGAAGGAAUGCAUGUGACAUACUCUGAUAAUGAGAAAAAAAAUGGCAAUGCAAAAAGGACAGUGAAAAUUGAUUUUUUUUUAAAAAGAAAAACCACAGAGAAAUGUGUAAAGAGGGUUAGGAAAAGGGUGGUAGGGGAAGGAAGAUAAUAGACCAACAUUUAGCUCAAAAAUAAUGCAAUAAUAUAUUAGUAAAAAUCUCAUACUUAAACACUAAAAAAGAGAUAGGUUUAAGAGUUCAUUUGAUGAUAAAACAGAGAUUAAUGAUGCAGCAAAAUAUCAGAACAAGAGAUGAGAGAAAAAGAAGGGGAAAAAAAGGAAAAAGGAACAAAAGAUUAUAAACAGGCGAAAAAAAAGAAGAAGAGCAAAACAAUUCAUGUGGCUUGGUUUUAUGAACAUUGGGUGUAAUAUGUUCGGUUUAUCGCCAUUUUUUGAACCGAACCGAAUUUUUCGGUUUGGUCAAAUUGAACCAAAUUGAUCUGCUUUCUAAACCGAACCGAACUACUCGGUUUGGUUCAGUUCCAAUAUUCAGUUUCAUCUUUUUCUUUUUUGAAUAAAAAAAAUAUUUCAAGUUUCUCACCACCAUAUGGAUCAAUUUAGGUAUUUCGAAAUAAAAAUAAAAAAAAUUAAAAAUUAAAAAUUAAAAGCACCAACACUCACUAUUUUGUUUUCAUUUUGAUUUGGUUGGUUUAGAAGUCCAAACCGAACCGAAACCAAAAACAGAAAUUUUAUAAAAAUCACAACAGAAACAAACUAAGUUCAAUUUGAUUUUUGGGUCGAACACCCCUAAAGUAAUGUGUUUUUUUUUGUGGGGUGUCUGCUUCGCCCAAUUUUUUCUAAAAAUAAACUUAGCUGGAAAUAUAAAGUAACUAAAUUUCGAACUUGAAAUCUUAAGUAUCAACUAUCAAACUCUUUACGACUUGUGCUAGGGACAGUCGGUUCCCUAAUAAGGCAAUGUGUUACUUUCUAGAGAAGGUGGGAGACCUCCCUAUUUUACAGCUUGCCCCUUCAGGGUUCUUAAGCAAGCAUGCAAAUCCUUUUCCUUUCAGUAGUAUACAAACAAGGUGGCUACUUUGUUGUCAGAUUUUCCUUAUUUCCUCCACUUUGUUCCUUUUCUUUUCUGCAGCCUAUACAGGGAAUAAAGACAAAAUUCAACCUCUCCACUCCUAGCCCUAGCUAUAAUUAUUUAAGAAUAAUGACUCCCCUGAUUAGUGUUACAACUUGUACAAUAAGUUUCCAUGAUAUUAUAUAUAGUACUUGGAUUUUUCCUUAUGUUGUUUAAUUAAAUAGGGCAAGUUGUAGCAAAAAUCUGAGAUAGUUGAACAAUGAAGUAGCAGUUGCUCAGUUCCAACUGUGUUGAACAGUUACAGCUGUCAUAGACCAUCCCCACCAAUCAUGGUGGUAUGAGUAGUCUCACAGGCCAUUGAGAAGAUAUAACCUAAUUUUCAAGCAAAAAAAAAAAGGCAAAAGAGAAUAUGAUCUAAUUUGGACCUUGCAUUUUAAGAUGGCAUAUUAAAGAAAAAUUCCGAGCAUUUAGCGAAUAGUUCAUUUACAGAUGGCAUAUUAAAGAAAAGUUUCGAACAUUUAGCGAAUAGUUCAUUUACAGAUGGCAUAUUAAAAAAAAGUUUCGAACAUUUAGCGAAUAGUUCAUUUACAGAUGGCAUAUUAAAGAAACUGUUCCAAAUAAACUACUGGAUUAAACUGCCCACAUCAUCACAACCGGAGAUGCGAAAACUAAAAGCAUAUAAACUACAGAAAUUUGGAAUGAUCGCGAAAUUGUGGGCCAAAGAAAAGAAUAAUAACAUUUUUGCGUUUAAACGAAGCAACGUGCCCACAUAAUCCAUUAGUCUAACCAAAAACAAUUGAAAAGAUUCUAAGUCUUUUUUUGCUUGAUCAGGAAGAGAGUGCAUCAAAUAUAUAUUAUUAUACAAAUUAAAACUCAGUUGCAGAUUUCAAGGACAGUGACAAGAAUAUAGUAGGUUAGAAACAAGGGAUGAGAGAGUACUUUUCUAGUGACCACUUCAUAUGCCUUGAGAAUCAAUUAAUGGUCUUUAUGUGACACAUUUAAAGGGGCCACAAACAUUGGUCUAAGUUUAAAAUUGUGUACAAAAGAUUUUCCUUCAACACACAGUUGAAUGAUUGCAAAAGAUUUUCUUGACACAAUAGAUGCCUACCACUAACCUUCCUACAAGGCUGCAUAGAUCUUAAUACAAUAAUUUAGAUAAUAAGUUGUGAUUACAAAGGGAGAUCUUACACCACAUGUUUCUUAGGGUGCAAAUUUUUCUAGGUCUAGGAUGCUACUAAGUCUACAUUUCUAUAAUGAGUUUGUCAAGCAAAUUGCGGGCCCAAAUUGAUCUGAGAAAGUCAAAUAAUUUGUGUUCUUAAGGUCAAUGAUGGAAUCUUCAUAGCAUGAAUAAGGAGACAGGAUAAUUAUUAAAAUUUGUCUUGCAUUCAAGUAUUGAAGUAGGGCAUAAUAGCAAGGGAAUUCUAGUCUUAUUCAGCUCCAUACAAUCAUAAUGCUCAAUUAUUUGCCUAUUUCAACAAGGAACCAUGACCUUGUCAAUGAAUUAUGCAUAAUAUUGGUCCCUAAGCCAUCCAAAUCUUGUAAUAACUGCUUGCCUAGUGCACUGAAGAAAUUAAAUUGUUGUUAAUGCUUGAAUAUGUGGUCAAUAAUAGUGUAUCACCUGUGCUUUAUUUGGUGCUGAAAAAUAUCAGCUAAACUUCAAGUAUUAAGUAAAAUGUAAAAUAUGCCCUGAGAGAGUUAUGGACUGAUGUACCUUCAUGAAAAAUGAAGAUUAUUAAUUAUUCGCCGUGAUGUAAAAAUAAAUAAAUAAUUCAUGCUUUACCAACCCAUUUCUUACUAAGAAACUAUCCUAACAAUCUGUUUAACUGUCAUAUUCUUGACUUGCAUAUGAGGACAUUACAGUUAUGUUUUAAUGCAUAAACAUCUUAUUCAGAAUAUCUCCUUAAGUUACUCAAGAAGCUUAUAAUAAUUAGUAGAUGAAGAGUAUGAUUAAAUGCCUACGAAAGAACACUAUAUUCCACCUUCAAGUCAUUUUUUUCACAAUAAGAGAGAGAGAGAGGGAGAGAUUUAACAACGUGAAUCCCUCCUCCUUCCAAUACAAGUCUAAAUAGACUUCUCUAAUGUCGUAAAUGACACAAACAACCAAUGAGAUAAACAGAGUCCUUAAAUCUGUAAUUCCGUUAGCUUGCUCCACAAAAUACCUCCUUCAAUAUCACAAUUUUGCCGAAUAAUUUAGCCCCUAGAUCCAUUCCAAACAAAAUACUAGUUGCUUGUAACUUACAUAUAAUAUUUGAUCCCCUAAGAAGAUGGGAUAAUAGCCUACCCCUGUAGCAAAGCAUGUAAUUGCAUUUGGUUUAACAAUUCACUUUUGCUAUUUUCAUGAUGGAUCGCACCUGGCCGGCCCACGCCACAAUACAAACUGGCCUGGCCUGCAAUUUUUAUGCCAUGCUGUGCCUGACCCGCAGAAAGGCACAGCACAUUUUUCUUAUUUAACACUGUUUUAAACUCUUGUUUUUUCAAAAUAUAAUUUAAACUAUUUGAAUUUUGAAUACUUUUCCUACACAAUUAUCUAAAAAUUAUGUAGUUACUAAAUAACUAGAUAUGCUUUGCAAAACUAAUGUUAAAAGAAUUCAAAAAAUAAAAAGUUAAAAAUUAAAGACCUUUAAGAAAUAAAAAGGGUAAACUUCUAAUAUCACCCGUGGUUUCACACUUUCUCACUUUAGUACUAUGUGGUUUAAAGUGUAUGAAAUUAGUACCACGUGGUUUCAUUUUUCUCUUUUCGUCGCAUUUCUUUGUUAAUAUUUUAUUAAAUUAUAUACAAAAAACUUCAGAUGCCUCAUCUAGAUUUAUCGAAUGUUCACUUUGCUAUCCUUUAGUUUUAACUUUGUCACUAAUUUAACAAAAAAAUAUUAGUAUAGAUGAUAAAAAGAAAAAAAUAAAGCCACAGGAUACUAAAUUGAUAUACUUUAAAGCACAGGAUUGAAGUGAUAAAGUGCGAAACUAUAGAGAUGGUAUUUGAAAUUUUUCCAAAUAAAAAUAAUAAAAUGUGCUGGCCGAAAGAGCCGACACGGCCAAGUCCGGGCUCAGCCCGGGAUCUCAGUAAGACGGGGCCCCGGCACAGCACGGAUUGCUCCCCAUGCUGUGCUGGGGCUGGCCCUUGACCAAGUUCAGCACAAGUGAAUGUGGAAAAUGUCAGGUCCGCUACCCCACAUUACACCCCCAGGAAUAAUGUACUAUUACAAGCAAUUUUAAACUUCUUUGGUUGAAAUUUCCGUUAAAUAAAAGAGAACUUCCAGCCAUGCUAUCAACAAAAUGCUAAAAUAUAGAUUAAAUAAAUCAAGACAAGAAAUUUGACGUGCAAGCCAACAAAAUCUGACCACAGAUUAAAAAAAAAAGGUAUAAAAGAUGUUCGCACCCCAAUCAGGGGGAACUUCACGCAGUAUUUUUCAUUCUUAAGUGGACAAAAAUUAAGUAGCCAAUGAUUUAAAAACCUAAAGUUUUAAGCCAUGGUCUUUAGAUUCUGUUCUGACAUAAAAUCACAUCAAUUUUUGGCCACAGUAAAUGAAAUGUACGACAAAUUAGUGCAUGGUUUGACAAACACAAAAGAGCAGUUGGAUUCUAUAAUCACUCCAAAUAUGAAACAAAGAAAUAUAAAAACUGGACGGGGUUUCUUUACUUCAAGAGAAAAAAACCGAACAAAUACUCUUAAACCAUGAGAUAUUAUUAGUAGGUGGACAAUAGUUCAUGGGCCGCAGGAGAGCCACAUGCAACAUCUUAACAGACCAUAAAGUGGGAGAAACACAGAGGAGUAAAUCAGUAUACAGUGACAAGAAACAAAUUAGGACUUAGAAUUCUAACCAAUAGGACAAUUCACAAUUAACCGAACAGUCGAGAAGGAAAAAUACAAUAAUUUAAAUACUAACUGCAGUAAAAUCCAGCACAGAGUAUGCAUCAGCAGUCAAAAUUCCAUAACUUCAAAAGAGAAGUUUCAAACAACUAGAGCACCAAAACAUUAAGCAAUCAGAACUAUUAGGAAAAGGGGUCAUAAAGGAAAAUAACAACAUACGACCUCACUUAAGAGGAAUGAACCUCGAAGAGUGGGUGGCACCAAUACCGGGCCUCCCGUGCUUGACAGGCUUGUAAGAGAUGGAGAACUCCGCAAGGUAAUGGCCAAUCAUUUCGGGCUUGAUCUCAACCUGGUUGAAGGUCUUCCCAUUGUAGACACCGAUAAUGCUCCCUAUCAUCUCUGGCACUAUGAUCAUGUUGCGGAGGUGGGUCCUGACGGGCUCGGGCUUUUCGCCAGCAGGGGCCUCCUUUUUCUGCUCAUAAUUAAUUGACGGCAUUCAAAUGAAGUUACUACAAGUAAUUCUACUUACUAACAUUAUAGUAUUGAUGCACAACAUGCCCAACUAACAUGCGCGGAUCUUGCAGUUUCUUUUCUCUUUAACAAAGUAACUUGGUUCCUAAAGUUGAAAUUGACAAAAUGCAAAAAAGAAAAACUUGAAAAAACAGAGACAGAGGAAAAUAACAACUAUUAUAAGCAACGAAUGGUAAAAAGAGACAGCGUGCCGAACUAAUAAUAUCACCUAUAACCAAAAAAUAGAGGCUAAUAAAAAAUCCGUUUGUUAGUUAUCCACUAAAUUGGUUUCAAACAUCCCUUUUUGGUGCAGAAACAACAAAAAAUUAGAAACCUUCCAAAUCCAUAAACUAUUGCGCAGCAACAGCUCUCGCUAUUUUCCAAUCAAAUAGUGUUUCGUAAGUAGCUGAUAAAAUUUACUGUAAAGAUUCAAUAAAAUACAUCUACGUGACCAAUUAACAAAAGUUAUUAUUACAACAUUAUUAAGCAAAUGAAAGAAGCUCUCAAGAUGAUAAAUUUUCUCGCCUUCUAACAAAGAAGUGCGCCAUAAUUUCAUGUUAGCCAAAAGAUGCUGACGAAAAGUAAUCAACCAAGUAAGCAAAACAAGAUCAGGCACAAGGAAUACUAUAUUACAAUGAAUGAUGAUUAGUUUUACAAGCAAAAUCGAAACUUUUGCAACCUGAGACUAGAAAUUGUAUAAUGUAUGUAAUUCCUGCAUUGUUAUUUCCAUUAUCAAACAAAAAAAAGGCGAGUUCUUGACAAAUAUUUUACUUUCAUCCUGCAUUGUUUUUCCCAUUAUCAAAUGAAAAAAAAAGACAAGUUCUUGACAAAUAUUUUACUUUCGUUCCCAAAUCAAAAAGUUUCCUAUUACUGCAAGAACAGAUCAGUCACAUCUUACCAUUAUAACCAAAGAGAUGUACACUAAAUUGACAAUAAAAAUAAAAAAAUUAGACGCAUUUGGAUCCGAAAAUAAGAGAAUUUUCCAUCUUACCGCCUUGCGCAACUUCUUGAUCAGGGCCAUCGGCUUCCGCUUCAAACCCCUCUGGAACCUAAACAAUUGAUCCAGCAAAAAAAGUUAUAACUAAUUACGCAAUCAAUAAAAUUCAAAGGGAAUGUCCAAACCCUAGAAACACAAUCGAUCCGACAGAAUCUAGCAAAAGGGAAAAAACCCUAACCUUCUCCGAGCACGAGCAUGGAAGAGCUUGACGAGCUCGUCGGUGGACAUGUCGAGGAGCGCGUCGAGGUCGACGCCCCGGAAGCUGAACUUCCUAAACGUCCUCUUCUUCGGCUGCCCCGCGGCCGCGUCCACUUCCACAUCCGCCUACGUCCAUUACCGAGAGAAUUGAGAUCGAUCCGAGCGAGAUCAAAGCAUGAGAUCACAGUGAGGAGGCGGAGGAGGACGAGGAGGAGGAUGGGGAGAGGACUCACCAUAGCUGUAGGAGAGCGGAACCACGCGAAACCCUAGAUCGAGAAGAGGGGAGAGAGCUCGUCGUGCGUGGCCGAGGCGCGUUAGGGUUUUGGGCGUAGAACGAACGAGGCUUUUAUAUGGAGGGGAGUCGAGACACGUGGUCAGCACGUGUUGUUCUCUAAUCUCUACCAAGGAUCUAAAAUGGGCCGGCUCGGCCCAAUCCACUAAUGGGUCGGGUCUAAUUAACUAUAAAUGAGACUCCGGUAAUCGUUUUAGGUCCGAUUAAAUGGGCUGGGCAACAUAUUGGUUCAAAUCUCCUCGUCUUUUGUAAGAUCGGAUCAGGGUCACAAUAAAAAUUACAGUAAUAUCGGAUCGGGCUCGAAUCAAGUGUUUGUGGAAGUGAGCACAGUCUCUGCAAGAGAAAUAACUGCAUGGUGCGAUUAAAAUUUAAAAUUUAAAUUCGGUCCCUAUUGGGCCAAAAUAUUGUGACUAGGAAUAAUUGAGGUGUAAAAUUUAAAUUUAAACCUACAUAUAGGUGUGCACAAAAUAGCAAUUUUCUUUCGAAAAUUUACCAAAUAUGUAAUUAAUUUGCUUUAAUCAUCAGAUACUCCACGGCCAUUUCACUCCAAAAACUUCCAGAUUAAAAAAAAGUCUUUUAACUCCAGAUAAAGAAUAAAUAAAAAAAAAGCUAACUACUAUUAUGAGAAUGUACAUCUUGCAUUUUUGAACACAAGGAUUAGGAUUUUUUUUUUUUUUUUUUUGAGAGAAAUAGAUAUAGCAUGCUACUCGUUUCGUAGCUGAAAUGUAAACUAAUUAGGAUUCGAACUUGAAACCUCGGGUACCAACUAUAAAACUCUUUGUCACUUGCGCUAGGAACGUCAGAAAAAAAAGAUAGAGUGAGUUAAAGGAUAGAGUGAGUUAUAUAUGAUUUAGUUACACCUAUAGGGUGCGUUUAGUUCGCGCUAUCUUUUUAAGAUUUCUAGUAAUUCAAUAGGAAUAAAAAAAAUAUGACGGUGUUUGGCUAAACGCACUGAUUGGUAAUAUUGGAUUUACUUAGAAAUGAAAUUCAUCCCAAAGUACUAAUUUUAUUCUUUUGAGGAGGGUGGGUAUCCUCAUAUUAAUGGAUUGGGGUAAUCAUAAUAUGUCUAAUAUUUUUCUUUCUCCCUAUCCGCCGGCUAGUUGGUAUUAUUUUUCUUUACACUUAUCUUAUUUUCAUAUCUCUCUCUAAACUUAUCUUUUUCUUUUUAAACUUGAACUCUUUCUCUCUCUCUAAACUAAGCUCUCUCCCCCUUUUUUUUCUAAAAUCUCAACUCUCUGCUUUCUCUAACCUCGGUUUUAUUUCUCUUUCUAUUUCUUUAAUUAUGCUUUCUUUCUCUAACCUAUGUUCUCUCUUUUUUUUUUUCUAAAAAAAUGUUAAAAUUUUUUAUAGAAUUAUCUAAAAUUAAUUAAAUAAAUAAAUAAAUAAAUUGUAUAUUUUUUUGUAAUCUUAAAUAACAUGACUAAAUAAUAUAACCGUGCGAACCAAACACAGAAAUGCGACAUUCUUAGUAAUUGAAUGAAUAGAUAUAAGAUUCUCGAACAUCUUUUUAUUUCUAGUAAUUUUUCAUAGUGCGAACCAAACGCGCCCAUAUUGUAAGUAUAUAGAUAGCAUUGCUCCGACGGGAAAUAUGAUUUUUAUUAAACCAAAGUUGUUCGCAUCAUGUACAUGCUUGAAUUUACCGCGCAUCACGUGCUCAAAUUUCCCGCCGAUCACCAACAAGGACGACGACGACAACAACAACAACAACAACCACCACCACCUCCAAUCAUGUACACUGCAAUUUCUCCUGUUGCAGCCGCACGCCGUCACGAUGCGCGCGGCUCCAUCGCGAGGAUGGCGGCUUUGAGCUCAGCCUGGAUGGGUGCCCGCGAGGGGGACAUGACGAGAUCGUCCCAAACGGAGCGUGAGCCGCAGGUGCUGUCGCCUUCUCCGUAGAGCUCGAAGAGCGAGUCGGCGUCGUCGUUCAGCUUGCCCACCUUCUCCAAGCAGCUGAACUCCUGCGGCUCCACCAACAAGCUGCUGUUCCCGUCCUUCCACCCUAUAAGCUGUUGUUGUGUAAAUAGGCAGCAAAGGAAAAAAAGGGUCACUUGAUGAGUUCAUUACAAAGUGAUUGUGUUUGAAUUUCUACUUCCAGAGAGAGAGAGAGAGAGAGAGAGAGAGAGAGAGAGAGAGGAUUAGGGGGUGUUUGGUUUCCAAAAGAUAAUUUUCUGAUUGAAAAAUAUUUUUCCAUCAAUUUGAUUCUCAGAAAAAAAAAAAAAAAAUUUCUGAAAAAAAUAUUUCCAGAUUUCAUAAAAAAGUCUUCUUUCUGUUUUUUUCAGUUUUUUAUCUGAAAAACGAAAAACUAUAAAAAAGAGGAUUUUUCCAUCGAAAUGUUUUGGAACCAAGCCAGGACGUAGCUUCUACAUUUUGGCUAUAGAUAUCUCUAGUAAAACAUUUGGCAAAUUACAAAAACUAAGAUAAAUAUGUCAUUGUCGGACACAAAAAUGAGAUUCUGAGCCCCAAAUCAAAAGUCCUUAACUUACGCUUGUAAUUCUAAUGCCCUUGUGGAAGACUAAAAUGAGAUUCAGAGUCCAAAAUCAAAAGUACGUAUAAUCAGAGCUUUUAUUUCUUGUUGAAAAAGGUACUAAUAUCUUUGUUAAUAUCUUGGGAAGUUAGUCUAUCAUACCUUUGCAGAUCCCAUGGAGUUGGUGCUGUAUAGCCUGGCAUUGUCGACUAGCUCGCAGUAUCUUGGGAAGGCACUGGCAAAUCUCUGGUGGGACUUCAACUGUGACUUCACCCUCACUGCCCUACCCAUUAUUAUUGCUCUUCUGCAAUUAUCAUUAGUGAGUAGAUGAAAGUAAAAUUUGAACGGAAACACUUUGUACACACAGUUCAAAAAAAAUCAAUUACUUCAGUUUUUGGAAUAGAUGAAAAUAAUAUUUAAACAGUAUCAGAAACUUUUGUGUUUACCUUAUUCCUCUCACCACCGCAAGAUACGCGUCGCACAUGACCCCCACGAGCUCUAUCCUGUAUGGCUUUCUUGAACUCGGCUGCUUGUUCUCCUCCUGAUCUCCUUCUUCGUCGUCAACGGGCUCCCAAUAGUUCUCGGUGAUGGUGCCGUCGUCGGCGACCUUGUAGCCCACCCCCAUGCGGUACCGCUGUCGGUGGACGGCCCGCGCCAUCGCGACUGUUUGCUGCACGAAUGGCUCCCACGACAGCGUCCCGUCCAUGAUCACGUCCCGCCCCUCAUUCAAUGCUGUCACCAGGAGUGAUGAUGCCGCGUCUGUCGAUGAUUGGUGCACCUGUUUACAAUAUGCAGUGUUCAUGUCAGGUCUGGUUCAAGUUCGACUCAAAUGAAGGACACACAAACAAACAAAUCAAUUGCAUCUAUUGAAUGCAAUUGAUUUGAGAAUUUUUUAAACACAUUCUUAUUUUUGUGUAAUCUACAUUAAAGAACUAUUGCCCUAACAUCAUUUUACUCUCUAAAUUCGGAUUUAGUAUGUUAAGAAUCUCGAACUAUGAAAUAGCUGCAAUCUUAGUUUAAAACUUUAAUUCCUAAACUUUACACCAGCGUUAUAGUGUUUUGCAGUUUUCCAAAUUAUUCAUAAUUUAAUAAUAACAACUUGCUUGAACUAUGGAACAUUUUGAAUAAGCUCUUCAAAUACUCUAAUAAUUACAAUAAGAAAGCGAGGGGGGAAAAAACGUAGACCUUUCAAAAAUUUGAUUUUACUAUCCAACCUCUCAAUUUGUUUGAUUUGAGUAGGUCAAUAAUAUAUUGACUUAAAAAUUUAAACCGAUUACUUAUUUUAAUGAAUUUAUCGUUCGAGAACUGAAUAAAAUAUACUAACUAAACUUGCAAAAAUAAAAUGUCAUUGACUGAUUUAAAUCAAACAAAUUGAAAGGUUGAAUAGUAAAAUCAAAAUUUUGAAAGAUUGGACAACCAACUCAAAAUGGUCGAUAGUUCUGAUGAAUUUUUUAUAUUUUUAUGGAUAAAAAAAGAAGAAAAAAAAGAAGGUACCAGCUCAGCUGUUUGGAGCAUGUCAUUGUGGUGACCUCUGGAGCUAAUGGCCCUGUAAAUCACGUCCGUCUCCUUGAAAGCAUCCGCCUCCACCACCACCGCGUUCGCAGCAGCCCCCGACCAAAAUGCACUGAAUUUCGUGUUAGCUUUCAGCAAUUUUUAAAUAUAAAAUAUAUUAAAAAAAUCAGUAAGUUAAACUUUUUAAAGGUAAACGGUUGUUUCAUAUUAUUUCCUACAAUAUCAUAGCAAGAGUAUUGAAUUCGAAUCUCACUUGAUUCUUUGAUGGCUUAAGUUUUUAGACACAAAUGAUUAUUUUACAUUAUUUUGCAGCAUUUGUUGUCACUAUUUAAGAAAAGCAAAAAUUACAAUUGUACAGGUAUUAACCAACUCGAAACUUUGCUCUUGGCUAAAAUGAAUGCACAGCACUCUAUGAUCCUAAUAUUGUAGAAAACUUUAAAUAUCUUCAUGGGGAACUUAAAUUUUCUACUUCCUAACCAAACAAUGAAAAAUAUAUAUCAAUCAUUCUGAUUUAGAUUACUAUUCUAACCCAAUGACAUGAUGAGAUUUUGUCAUCUCAUUUUCAAUUUCAGCUGAUUCCGUUUCCUAUUCUAUUUCUAUUUUGAACCAAGGAUGCAGUUAAAUACAUCAAUUUCUGAGCUUCUUUAUGUAUUACCAUUUCUGUUUCUGACCAUAAGAAAGGCCCCUAACCCUUAAGUUACCAUUUACUCCUAAAGAAAAGGGUCAUUUCAUUAGAUGUUAUCACUUUUUUCUAGUGACUAGAAAUGAAAUUGACAAAUAUGAAAAAAAAAAAAAAAAAAAAAAAAAAAAGACUCAAAAGAUUAAGAUAUAUAUAAGCAAAAAGUUUGGAUGCUAACGGAUUGUUUGGUUGCAUGUAGUUGCAACUGCACUGCAGUUAUAACUACAUGCAAAUCCCAAUCUUCGUUUGGUUUUAUGCAUUUGAACCAAACUAUUGCAGUUGGAACUGGACAAGGAGACUCAAAUUUAGCAGUUGAAACUACGCCCAAGUUGGUCGCAGUUCUAACUGCAGCAGUCGGAGAGAGUAACAUAAAAAAAAAGGAUUAAUCUCACCAUCAUAUAUAUAAAAUAAUAAAAAUUUAUAAAUAUACUUAUCAACCGCAUAUAACCAAACAAAAUAGUUAUUGCUGCAGCACUUUCUACUACAUCUAAUCAAACAAGAUGCACAAUUAUUGCAUUUAUAACCGUAUGCAUCUCGAACUAUACUGUCUUUACAGUUACAUCCAACCAAACGGCCCCGCCACUAGCGCGUCUGUGGUGAGACAUUUCUUAUGGAUUAGGGUCCAAUUCACAGAUGAAAGAGCAGUAGGACAAGACAACUAGCAAGUCCAGCUCUCUUGAGUUUUUAAAUUUUUAAUUUCCAAAUGAAGAAAACAUGAUUGAAUUAACAGUAUAAGAUGGAAACAAAUAAAGGACAGAGCAGUCCACAAUCAUAGGGAAGUUCAGUAACAACCGUGAACCACCGACCCUCAAAAAUAUUCAUAGAGCAAUUACACCUUGUGGGGCAGUAUCAGAGAUGGCGACAUUAUAUGCAGAUGAGAACCAGGGAGCUACAGAGUGCAUCUGAAACCUACUUCCUUUUCCAUGACUACAGUGAGAAUUUAGUGUUUGUGUUCGUAUUAUGAUGCUCCCUUUACCUACUGGUGAUAUGUUCGUACUACCAUUAGCUUCAUCGAAAAUUGUUUUGCGGGAAAAAACUUUUUCAUGGAAAGCACCCCUUUCUACAGUAUUAGCUUUUCGAAAAACAAAUUUGAAAAACAAAAAAGCCACUUUUUCAUGAAAUCUGGAAAAAAACUACUUUUUUAGGAAAUGAACAAACAGUAAAAACUUUUCUAGCCAGAAAACUAAUUUCUAGAAUAUUUUUCAUAAACCAAUUGAAUAGCCGAUGAGUUAAUUAUUGUCCUAUUGACACUGUCCACACAUUUAUAAGGAUAAAGAUGUAAAUGUGGUUUACAAUUUGGCUGCUAGUCUAAUGUUUUCGUCUCCAUCGCUGAUGCUUAAUGUGAUUCAUUUGCACCCAUGUUGUUUUCAUUGUUGGACCACAAUCGAUCCUUAAAUUUCCUGAUGAAAGCCAUCAAAGCAAUGGAGACUAAUUUGUCGUUGUACUAAAUCGGCUUAUGUGAAUUAUAUAAAUAACUGUACUAAAUCGGCAAACAACGUUUUAUCUCUAAUAACCUAACUAACGAAUGACAUCUUAAUAUUUUAUAUUCUACGCUCUCUCUCCCACUUUUGAAAUU